rnacentral:lncRNA from 1 species
AGAAAUAGGACAGCAGCCAUUCCAGGUAGCAGGGGAAUGGCCCUUCCUCACUUUCUGACGAUUUUUUUUUACGCUCUUCUGUCUUUGGGGAAAGCGGCAGGCUAAGGAAAACCGGGAAGCCACGCAGACCUCUGCCUGUGACACAGCACGUGGGCUGGCCUCUGGCAACUGACAGAGGGAACAUUGCUGCUGAUGCGAAGAAAAGUCAUCAGAGAUUCUAAAAAAUAACGACUAUGGCGGAUAAGCAAGGAGGGACAGGAGGUGACCAAGGCCACAGUGGGGAGAGACCUAGCAGAGAGAGCACCCACCUCAAUCAGGCCACAGCCGGGACGGAGGUUCUGAGCCACGUCUCCUGAGUUCAUUUACUCGGUGGAAGUCAAUCUUAAUUGUCAAUUCGAUGAGAUUUUUAAUCGCCAUGGAAACAGACCUCUGAGCAUGUCACGGAGACAGUUUCUAUAUCAGGUUAAUCGAGGUACAUCUGAGGUACAACAGUCUACCUCAUAGUGGCCUCUGACAGUCCAAAGCACGAGCGGUCAUUGCCAGGGCAGCUCCAUUGUCUGCCAGAGCCCUCUCUGCUCUGCUUAUAGCUGUCUCAUGCCAGCCGAGUCGCUUCAGCAUGCAGGAGCCUCGUGUCUGAGUCUGAGGUAUAAGCAAGAUCCUACACUUCCACGGCCCUAGGAGAGGAUCCUUCAUGCCUCUCCCAGCUACUGGUGAAGGUCACAGUUUGAUCAUCUGACUUAAGGACCCAGUGCCCUGCCAUCUACCCGUUUCUUCACAUGUAGGCAGCUAUGCCCAAACAGUCUCCUUAUGUAAGUGCUACUCACUCCCCCAACCUACAUGCUGCCACCUGACCACUCUGGCAGAGUCACUCUUCACAAUGAGACCACAUGCCAUAAAGAGUCCCUUGAAUAGGCUACGCAAGCCCACACUGCCACCCAACCUCAGAUCCCAUGUUGACCCGUCACUCACAUCCCUUCACUGGGCAUGUGCGGUUCAACUGGCCAGCUGCAGCCUCAGGGUCCCAGGUCUUCACCCUUCCCACAUCCUAUUCACCUUGGAAGUUCCUGUUGGUCCUUCAAAUGGUUAUUAAACUCCUCUAAUGUACAUUA